GAUGAACGCUGACAGAAUGCUUAACACAUGCAAGUCGAUGGGGAAGUGGUGCUUGCACCAUGGUAACCAUGGCGGACGGGUGAGUAACGCGUAAGGAACUUGCCUGCGGGACUGGGAUAACAGCAGGAAACUGCUGAUAAUACCGGAUAAGGUCAUUAAGCUGCAUAGCUUAGUGAUGAAAGGAGACGCCUGCGGAGAGCCUUGCGUCCUAUUAGCUAGUUGGAGGGGUAACGGCCCACCAAGGCGAAGAUAGGUAGCCGGCCUGAGAGGGUGGACGGCCACAAGGGGACUGAGAUCCGGCCCUUACUCCUACGGGAGGCAGCAGUGGGGAAUAUUGGACAAUGGGGGCAACCCUGAUCCAGCAAUUCUGUGUGCACGAAGACGGUUUUCGGAUUGUAAAGUGCUUUCAGCAGGGAAGAAGGAAGUGACGGUACCUGCAGAAGAAGCGACGGCUAAAUACGUG
rnacentral:rRNA from 1 species